rnacentral:rRNA from 1 species
GUCUAUGGCCAUGCCACCCUGAACAAGCCAGAUCCCAUCUGAUCUCGGAAGCUAAACAGCGUCAGGUCUGGCUAGUACUUGGAUGGGAGACCACCUAGGAAGACCAGGUGCUGUAGGCA